ACAGAAUGAAGACGAUCAGUUUAAAAUUUGCUUUACAAGCUGAGUUUGCAUUAAACUUUCUCAAUGUCUGUCAUUUUGACAGACACGGGCUGUAAGAAAAUUGUCAAAAUCAAUAAUAAUAUGAGGCAACUGCCAAACAAUUACAACUAAACUCAAUCAACUAUCGUAAUCUGCCUGAACUCAAAUCUUGUGGUCUAUAAAGUGGGAGUUUAUCUGUGUGUAAUUCAACCAUCAUGUUAGACUGAAGGAGUUGCAGUUAUCAUUAGAUUUCAUGGCAACACUGGACAAAUUACUACUCACACUCAGUGUGACUUCAGACAAAGGAUAAACAAAGACAUUGAGUAUGUUUACAUGCACAUAAUAAGAGGACAAUUAUCUUAUUAUGAUAUUAUAAAAAUCAUCUUAUUACAUUAACAUGUUUCAAGCAUUUUAAUUUCCUUUUAUUUGUGAAGUUUAUCUAUCACAGGUGGGGACAUACGCACAUACGAAACGGCAAAAAAGACGUUAAAAUCUGGGUUAAGAGCAAAAAACUACCUGCACCAAUCAGUUUUUGCCAUUUAUGGGCUUUACCCUAUAAAAGAAAACCGUUUUAUGCAUUUAAAUGACCUUACACGUUAUCAGUUUAUUAAGCGUUUAUACUAUGUAGACACACUUACUGUGCACUAAGAUAAAAAAAUUGGUUAACACGACCACUUCACUCAGAGGUUGGAGAAGACAACCGGUGGACUAAACAUCAAGCCUCUGCACGAUUCAGGUAAGUGGAAUAAAAUACAUUGUAAAUAAACAUUAUUAAAACAGAUUGUAAAGUCAUUCAUUCAAAACUUGCUAUGACCUAAGCCUAAAUGACUUAAUUUCUUUUUAGAAUUAAGACAACCUUAGCAGGAGAGUCCCAGCAGUAACUUUCUCUCAAGCAGAUGAGCAAUAAGUUGCUUUGUAUGAACACCACCCUAACAAUCAAGUUUUCUACAGUUAGCCUGUUAACAGUAGACCAAAGGUAUGAUGAUCAAUUAUAAAUGCAAUAUGGUUGAAAGCUUGACAAAAAUGUAGCUUGAAGGAGAAGGGACAGCUGAGUAACAAAGUCCUGGUACGCAGACGACGAUACUAUUACACUGACAAGAGUGUAAUGAUGAUGGAGACACAAGCCAAAGAAAGGGUGGACUAAACACCAGGCCAGAAUUCUGCAUGAGUCAGCUCCAGUGGGUGCAGAUCAUCAUACAGAUGGUUAAAGUGUGGAUCCACCUAAUAUUCAAGAUUUUCUGUCCUGGGACCCUCGGCUAACCAUCAAGAAAGAAAACACUCCAGUGGGCAUCCUUUAUCCAUCCAGACCCUCCUACAGAUGGUUGGAGUUUUGAUUCAAGUACCAUGCAAGAGCACUCUUUUUCACUCUUGAGACCAUGGUGUGACCUGCAAGGUCGAAUGGAGACUGUAAACGAGACAAUCUUGGAGUCACCUGCAUUCACUGGUCCAGUUGUUAGCCCAAUUACAGAUGGAGAGUGUAGAAGAGGAUGAUGUAUUUUCUCCAACAUCUUUCUAGACUGAUAAAAGAUCUAGACAGGCUCGAACAAAAGUUAACAGAGGGGCUUAUAUAGAGAAUGGUGAGCAGCUACACAAAAGAAGAACAUGGAGAAUCUGCUCAAAGGUGUUAACCAGCAAUGCAGCUAUACAACUAAAUUGAUGCAGGCGGAAACAAUGUGUAAUGCAGCUGCAGAUGAAGAAUCCGUCCGUCUACCACUGAAGGAGACACAGAAAAUCCAUCCAAGAUGUUCUUUGCCCAAGGAAGCAUUUGAUUAUUUUAAAGAUGUUGUGUUUCUUUGUAUGUUAUAGAAAAACGUUGCUUUUUGCAUAAGAUCGUGUAAAUAUGCAUGUUUUCCUUUGUCUAAUUUUAAUAAAUUUUACGCAAUCAA